GGCCCUGCCCGCCAGUUGGUCGCCUCCUGCAGCACCCUGGAGGCCCAGGGUCGGCGGGGUGGCGGCUCAGGGGAUCCGGGGCGCAGCCUACACCUGGGACAAUGAGCAGGAACCCAGGUUGCCUAACCACCAGUGCUCUGUCUGCCUGCCUGCCUGCCUGCUCGCCUGGACUCCUUUCUCUUGACAGGGAGUGGUGAGAACAGAACUCAAGGAAGCAGGCUUUGUGAAAACAUGAAUCGUGUGGCCCAGGUUCCUCUAAAGGCAUAGGCAAGAGAAGAGAGAAUGAACCAGGGAAUUACUCAGAACCUGCUCCUGGCUUGGAUGCUAAUGGGUCCUAUCAGCAAGCUGUGGUAGAAGGAGGCAGAGCCUGGCAGUCCUCGGUCCUCAAGGUGUUUGGCAUCACUCUCAGCACAGAUGAUGGGACUGGUGGGUUGACCCCAGCUCUGCUAUUCCCCCAUAAUGUACUCUCUAUCUUAGAGGAAAGGCAAGGGAAUUGUGGGUUCAAACAGAGUACCGGUCCAGCAGCAACAUCCAAACAGUUCAACCUUCCCUUAGUUAGGGUUUUU